rnacentral:tRNA from 1 species
GUGGUGGCUUAGUGGUAGAGUGCUUGCCUAGCAUGUGUGAGGCACUGGGUUCCAGUCUCAGCACCACA